UACGUAGGGCGCAAGCGUUAUCCGGAAUUAUUGGGCGUAAAGAGCUCGUAGGCGGUUUGUCGCGUCUGCCGUGAAAGUCCGGGGCUUAACCCCGGAUCUGCGGUGGGUACGGGCAGACUAGAGUGCAGUAGGGGAGACUGGAAUUCCUGGUGUAGCGGUGGAAUGCGUAGAUAUCAGGAGGAACACCGAUGGCGAAGGCAGGUCUCUGGGCUGUAACUGACGCUGAGGAGCGAAAGCAUGGGGAGCGAACAGG
rnacentral:rRNA from 1 species